AACCUAACUCUCUGCUCAGCUAGCCGGCCCAACUGUGAGUUUGACUAUGAUGUAAUCUGAAUCAUGAGGUGGCAUUCUAAUUAUUCUUCAGCAGGAUCCGCUUUCUGACAGCUCACAAGCAGAUCAUGUGAUCCAUGAGCUUGUGUGAGAGUGAGAGGGAGAGCGAGUGAGAGGGAGCGAGAGGGAGCGAGAGCGAGAGAGAGCGCGUUUGUUGCACAACAUAGCGUUGGAGAUGUGCAGAGCUUGGUAAACAGACCACUGAUCCUAGAGACUUAAAACGGCAAUGAGUCUGCUUGUUGACUUACAUGCCCACAUACUACACCGUGUCGUUAUGAUCAUCAGAGUUCAGCUCAAGUCUGUCAUGUUUAUUAUUUGUCUGUUGUUGGGCCCAUGUCUUCUUGUGCGUAUCAUAGCUUAGUGCACCUCGUCAACUUUGGUGUGGGCCAUGUUCGUACAGUCACUGAUCGGGCGACGGUGUUCUGCCAACGUUGAUCCCCGUCAUUCGGUUCUGGGAUGUGGUUUUACCGGUGUUUGCUUGAAAGUUUCAUUCAGGAAGUUUCCACUUCCUAAAUGAAAGACAUAGUUGUUGCUUGAGCCUGGCUCAUGUCUAAGCCAGGGAGCAGCGCUGAUCUAGACUAGGGCUGGGCGAUUAAUCGAAUUUUG